AUUAAAGGCAGCAACCUCACCUGCUGCAAACCUUUUCUGAGAACACUGGAAACAAUCGAGCUGGCUGACUGAGAAACUUACCCUGUGAGUUUGCUUUGUUUAAAUUUUUAUACACCUUAUCUUCAAUUUAUUAUCCUGACUGAUAAUUUUAUGGUGAAGAAAAGAUGUGUCUUAGUUUACAUUUAUUAGAAUCAUUUUAGUUACUUUGCUCUGAUAUUAUUGAUGGAAAUUAAGAUAUUGAUCCUGCAUGCAUUUGAUUUAAUUCACUUUUGUUAUUCCUUUCUCACUCUCUCAAGAGAAACCAGCUGAAUGCAUAUUGAAUGAAACUCUGGAUUAGAACUCCCUCCCAUGUGCUCAUUUGUCCUUGCAGACAAACCACUGAGUUGAGCUCAACCAUAAAUUAGCAUAACCCUGAACAGUCUAAUAUCCUUCAAUACUUGUCCACAAAACAUUGGUAAUAUUUCUGUGUCUGCCAGUAGCCAAGAAAUUAACCACAUAUUUAUUGUACAUUUGAAAGGUAGGCCAGUGGUCACAAUGCAGGGCUCAUCAUGAACAAUGGUCUCAUGGCUUGAGGCUGUCAGGAGUUUAUCAGCAGCUCCCUGUGGCUACCAGGUUUUGUCCCUGUACCAUAAAGGCUCAUUUACACAUCUCUGCAAAUCUGAAACCAUCUUGAUUUUCUAGCAGCAGCAAAGAGGGAGAAAUAAAUAAACAAGAUUAAGUGUUAAGAUUUUGAGAGAAUGAGUUUGAUCUACUUACAUUAAAAGAACUUGAAAAAUAAUCUGCCGUCUUUCUAAAUUAAUACAACCAUCUCAAAUUUAAGAGAAAAUUUUAUAGUUUAAAAAAAUCUGAAACUUCUCAUUUACAAAAAAAUUAUCUUGUAAUUGUGAUCCAAUUUUCUCACUGGUUCAGAAAAACUGAGCAAUUUCUUUCCCUAAAACAAUAACAAAUGUUAUUAAAAUAAAAUCCAAAAUAUAUUUUCAUUAUAACGUUUCUUUUUUUUUUAGUGCCUUGUGUCCUAAGAGCAAAGCUACUGUUUGGAUUAACUGCUUAAGUAGCUGCUCUCACAGCUCUCAAAGUUUUCAUUGGUUCAACUUUAAAACAUCGCCAAACUCAUCAAUGUCACUUCUCCAUCACCAAAUGAUUUAAAUCAAGAAGGGGCGGGACUUUUCACAACUUUGUCAACCACAAUGGCGGGCGUCUGUAGGGAGGAGAAACUACCUGCACUUGUUCAUUUGAGGGUAAAGUUUCUAGAUAUUAAUGCUCCUACACAACUUUUCUUAACUGUUUUGACCCUGUUCUUCAGAUUAUUCCAUCAAAUCAAAGCAAAAAAGCAAAUCUUAAGCAAACUGAGCUUUUCAAAACAGACAUGGGAGGCUGAAGUCAUAGUGGACAACUUUCCUAACUUUGAAACCGUACACUGGUGUGAAGUGCUCUGAAACAGAGGCUCUGAGACAGUCAGACUAAAAUAAUCCUGUUAGUGUACACAGGCCUUUGUUGUCUUUUCAGCUGUUUAGUUAUCUAGUUACAGAACCCUCUGAGGAGUUUUUUGUGGUUGUGAAACAUCAAGAAAUACUGAUGUCUCUAUAUGACGUAGCAAAGCAUCAAUAAUACAAAUGAAAAGUUCAAUAUUUCAGUUCAUGAAAUUGCAGGGAGAUGGUUGUGUCAGACAGGACAACUGUUGCAUGCUCAAGAAACAGCCUUCUUUUUCACAUUUCCUGCAGAUUACACCCUCAGUACGCGAUAGAUCUCACUGUUAAAAGAAAGCAGAAAGAGAAAAUACUAACUUGUUGGCGUGUUCAACACAAGAUCAAUAAGACAACACAAUGUGCUGAAACCAACAUAAGAGUCUCAGUAGAUUUAAGACGAUGCUUAGAUGAGUUUAAUUGUCUUUUCUGCAUUCUACUGUACAUUAUGAUGGUGGCCUUUGGAAACUGAGCUUGAUGAUACUGUUUUGUCUAAAGGCCUGAAGAACAACCUGAUCAUGCAGACCCUUGUAUGGAUCAUGUUAACCACAAUAGAUAGACUGUGUGCGGGCGGAGUGGGGACAAACAUAGCUGAGCAAAGAGCCGAGCUCACAUUCAUGGACAAUUACGUACAGCUACGUGGGUCAAAUGCUAAAUUACCAUGAACUAAACUAAAUUGUAUUGUAGCACUCCAUUAAAAAAGGGAUAAUAAUCAAAAGAAAGACACAGAUUUUUCAAAAGGACGUCUGUGCGACGAUGUGAGGCUGAAAGGCUUAUGUUCAUCUGCUAUCAGUCUUGGAUAUUAGCGCUGCAAGGCCAUGUGUCAGAUCCCUCCUUAGAGGACGAUAAGGAAACGACUAAGCUGCCUCAUAUACUUUAUUCUCUCCCCCUCUCUCUCUCUCUCCCCCUCACUCCCGGCUGUGGACUGUGUCGGGCUGGCUGGCUGGCACCACAGAGACCCCGGUGGCACCAUGCGGGAACCAACGUCAACCAAUGAUGAAAGACGAUGGCCGAUUGUUUCCUGUUAUUGAAACACUACUCAUGGGUGGGGGUGGAGGGGAGGGUAGGGCCUGUGCUGAAAUAAAAAAAGGAAAGCCAUUGAAGGAGAGUGCUACUGCGGGAGUGUCUGUUGGCCAGCCUCAUGUGAUGGAAUACCUACAAUGAAUGCCAAGUGUGACAAAUGCCUCUGCAGCUUAAUCCAAGCGGUGUCAGCUGCUCGAGGAUUGCAAUCAUUUAAGUAACACGGAGUACAAGUCGAGUAAAACUGUCUGUACUUAGUGUAGUAUCCUGUGUGUAUUUCUUUGUUUACGCUGCCUGAAGGAAUGAGCUCCAGUGAUGUUUAGAGUCGAUGAGCAGAAUAUCAAGACGUUCGGAGCAAACAAGGCUGCAUUUCUGUAGGAUUGGAGUUAAUGCUCUGUGAGAUUUUUACACUCACACGUGUCAAUUAGUCCAAUUAGUCAUUAAGCACCUGUGAUCUGCAGUAAUGAUGAGAACUGAUUCGGCCUCUAGAGUUACUGCAAAUCAAGCCGAUACACUUAUUAAACCACUAAGCCGUAUUUAUUAUUUUACAGUAGCUCGUGUCUGCACAUUAAUAAAGUUAGGACUCAUACAUAAGCUGGAAUCAAUAUUGUUUCACUGAUAGUAGCUGAAGAAGUUACACAGAUCAGUUUCAAAUCUUAGAUGCUGCUCUAGUUGUAUUGCACACUAUCUAAAAUAAAAGACAACUGGAUACAUGACUACAUUGCCAUUUUCACAGGCUUAUUCUGCUCCCCCGUUGCUCCAAAUACAACAUAUCAACAAG